UAAAAAUUUUUGUAGUUUUUCAAAUUUAUUUAAAGUUUAUUUUACAUAUAAAUUUUAGUGUUAAUAUUAAUUUAUUUAAAUAAUAAGUUUUUAUAUUUAUAUUAGUAAUUAAUAUUAAAAUAUUUAAGAAAUUAAUAUUUAGUAAUAUUUAAAUUAAUAACUAAUUUUGUGCCAGCAGUUGCGGUUAAACAAAGAUUAAAUUAAAUUAUAUUAGUUAAAAUAAUUAAUAAAUAUAAUUAAUAAUAUAAUAUAAAUUUUAAAUUAUUAGGUGAAAUUUUUAAUUUAAUAAAAUAUUAUUUAAAUUUUAUGAUUUAGUAAAUUUUUUUAAAAACUAGGAUUAGAUACCCUAUUAUUAAAAAUUUAAAUUAAAAAUACUAAAAUAGUAGAUAAUUAUUUAUUGAAACUUAAACAAUUUGGCGGUAUUUUAGUUCAUUUAGAGGAAUCUGUUUAAUAAUUGAUAAUCCACGAAUAAAUUUACUUAAUUUUUAAUUUUGUAUAUCGUUGUUAAAAAAAUAUUUUUUAAUAAGAGUAAUAUUUAAAAAUUAUAAAAUAAAUUAAAUCAGAUCAAGAUGCAGAUUAUAAUUAAGAAUAUAAUGGAUUACAAUAAAUUUAUUUAGAUGAAUAUUAAUUUGAAAAAAUUAAUUGAAAUUGGAUUUAAAUGUAAUUUUAUUUAAUUUAAUAAAAUGAUUAUAAAUUAAAAUAUGUACAUAUUGCCCGUCGCUUUCAUAUAAAAAAAAAAUUGAAAUAAGUCGUAACAAAGUAGAGGUACUGGAAAGUGUUUCUAGAAAGAA
rnacentral:ncRNA from 1 species